GCAUAUCAAUAAGCGGAGGAAAAAGAAACCAACAGGGAUUGCCCUAGUAACGGCGAGUGAAGCGGCAACAGCUCAAAUUUGAAAUCUGGCUCUUUCAGAGUCCGAGUUGUAAUUUGCAGAGGGCGCUUUGGCUUUGGCAGCGGUCCAAGUUCCUUGGAACAGGACGUCACAGAGGGUGAGAAUCCCGUACGUGGUCGCUAGCUAUUGCCGUGUAAAGCCCCUUCGACGAGUCGAGUUGUUUGGGAAUGCAGCUCUAAAUGGGAGGUAAAUUUCUUCUAAAGCUAAAUAUUGGCCAGAGACCGAUAGCGCACAAGUAGAGUGAUCGAAAGAUGAAAAGCACUUUGGAAAGAGAGUCAAACAGCACGUGAAAUUGUUGAAAGGGAAGCGCUUGCAGCCAGACUUGCUUGCAGUUGCUCAUCCGGGCUUUUGCCCGGUGCACUCUUCUGCAGGCAGGCCAGCAUCAGUUUGGGCGGUGGGAUAAAGGUCUCUGACACGUACCACCUUUCGGGGUGGACAUAUAGGGGAGAUGACAUACCACCAGCCUGGACUGAGGUCCGCGCAUCUGCUAGGAUGCUGGCGUAAUGGCUGUAAGCGGCCCGUCUUGAAACACGGACCAAGGAGUCUAACAUCUAUGCGAGUGUUUGGGUGUCAAGCCCGAGCGCGUAAUGAAAGUGAACGGAGGUGGGAACCCGCAAGGGUGCACCAUCGACCGAUCCUGAAGUUUACGGAAGGAUUUGAGUAAGAGCAUGGCUGUUGGGACCCGAAAGAUGGUGAACUAUGCUUGAAUAGGGUGAAGCCAGAGGAAACUCUGGUGGAGGCUCGCAGCGGUUCUGACGUGCAAAUCGAUCGUCAAAUUUGGGCAUAGGGGCGAAAGACUAAUCGAACUAUCUAGUAGCUGGUUCCUGCCGA
rnacentral:rRNA from 1 species